AGGACGAACGCUGGCGGCGUGCUUAACACAUGCAAGUCGAGCGGUAAGGCUCCUUCGGGAGUACACGAGCGGCGAACGGGUGAGUAACACGUGAGCAAUCUGCCCUUCACUUCGGGAUAACUCCGGGAAACCGGUGCUAAUACCGAAUACAACCACUUCAGGCAUCUGAUGGUGGUGGAAAGUUCUGGCGGUGAAGGAUGAGCUCGCGGCCUAUCAGCUUGUUGGUGAGGUAGCGGCCCACCAAGGCAACGACGGGUAGCCGGCCUGAGAGGGUGACCGGCCACACUGGGACUGAGACACGGCCCAGACUCCUACGGGAGGCAGCAGUGGGGAAUAUUGGACAAUGGGCGAAAGCCUGAUCCAGCAACGCCGCGUGAGUGAUGAAGGCCCUAGGGUUGUAAAGCUCUUUUGUGCGGGAAGAUAAUGACGGUACCGCAAGAAUAAGCACCGGCCAACUACGUGCCAGCAGCCGC
rnacentral:rRNA from 1 species